CACCCACUCUUACAUUAGAGAUAGACAGGGCUCACAUCUUCUCCCACAUAAUACACAGGUGGGGGGGUAUUCACUCCUUGGGUACACAUGGGUGGGGUUCACAAACAGAAGAAUAUUAUACACUGGUGCCGGCAUUCACUCCUAGGGGUCAGAUCAAUUUCCAACGACAUUCACUCCCACAUAAUACAUGGGCUGAAGGGGGCGGGUUACUCCAAUCCCCACCAUUUCAAAGGUGAGAUCAAAACUUUUCCUCAUACUACUAAGGUGGCGCCUACAGCAUAGGUCAGGCCAAGCACAUUCCCACUUACUACAUAGGUCGGGCCAAACACAUUCCCACACUCAGAAUGGGUCUGAAAACAUUCCCACUUACUACAUUGGUGGGGCUUACUACAAAGGUGGGGCUGAAAACAUUCCCACUUACUACAUAGGUGGGGCUGAAAACAUUCCCACAUACUACAUAGGUGGGGCUUACUACAAAGGUGGGGCUGAAAACAUUCCCACAUACUACAUUGGUGGGGCUUACUACAAAGGUGGGGCUGAAAACAUUCCCACAUACUACAUGGGUGGGGCUUACUACAAAGGUGGGGCUGAAAACAUUCCCACAUACUACAUUGGUGGGGCUUACUACAAAGGUGGGGCUGAAAACAUUCCCACAUACUACAUGGGUGGGGCUUACUACAAAGGUGGGGCUGAAAACAUUCCCACAUAC